UACGGGGGGGGCAAGCGUUGUUCGGAAUUACUGGGCGUAAAGGGCUCGUAGGUGGCCAACUAAGUCAGACGUGAAAUCCCUCAGCUUAACUGGGGAACUGCGUCUGAUACUGGAUGGCUUGAGUUUGGGAGAGGGAUGCGGAAUUCCAGGUGUAGCGGUGAAAUGCGCAGAUAUCAGGAGGAACACCUAUUGCGAAGGCAGCUCGCUGGGACGUCACUGACGCUGAGACGCGAAAGCGUGGGGAGCAAACAGG
rnacentral:rRNA from 1 species